AAUGAACGUUGGCGGCAUGGAUUAGGCAUGCAAGUCGAGCGAGAAGUGUAGCAAUACACGGAAAGCGGCGGAAGGGAGAGUAAUACGUGGGAAUCUGCCCUUAGACCUGGGAUAGCAGCGGGACACUGCUGGUAAUACCAGAUAAUGUCUAUGGACCAAAGGUGUGAUUCCGUCUAGGGAUGAGCCCACGUCCUAUUAGCUAGUUGGUAGGGUAAUGGCUUACCAAGGCGAUGGUGGGUAGCGGGUAUGAGAGCAUGACCCGCCUCACUGGGACUGAGACACUGCCCAGACACCUACGGGGGGCUGCAGUCGAGAAUCUUCGGCAAUGGGCGCAAGCCUGACCGAGCGAUGCCGCGUGCGGGAUGAAGGCCUUCGGGUUGUAAACCGCUGUCGAGGGGGAGCAACUUCCAUAGAGUUAUCUUUAUGGAUUGAGUGAUCCCUGGAGGAAGGACGGGCUAAGUUCGUGCCAGCCGCCGCUGUAAGAC
rnacentral:rRNA from 1 species